CUUCUCACAAAUACGUGUUACUAAAAACAUACUACUAUACACCCCUACACACAUACAACCCACGACUACGUACUCCGCCACUCACACGUAGUUCCACUAAAUGCCUGCCACUACAUCCACAACUCUCUACUCAGAGCACGCGUUAAUCACACAUACCCCACUAAUAAGCACCCACUGUACACACUUCACGCACAUACUGCAUCACUCAACACAGACUACUCACACACACACAGUCCCACACAACCACAGGCCCCCAUAUGUUCAUACAACUCUACUACACAUGGCUGUGCUAUACAAACACAGCAUGAUACACAUCCACUCAACGCUGCUAAACAGGCCACCACAUACGCACGCCCCACUACCCACCACAUACACACAUGCACACAUCUGCACUCCCCACACACACACCUGCACUCUAAACCUGCCACUCACUCACACCCCACACAUAAGGCCUCCCGAUGUACAUAUAUGUGCACCACUUCUACAUACAUGCACGCAACCAUGUCACACACACACCUCUCCACACUUCUACAUACACACACGCAACCAUCUCACACACCUCUCCACACACCUACACAACCAUCUCACACACAUUCUCCAUGCACCUACAUACACACACAACCAUGUCACACACCUCUCCAUGCGCCUACAUCCAUGCACACAGCCAUCUCACACACACCUCUCCACACACCUACAUUCACACACACAAUCAUCUCACACAUUCACACACCUACAUACACACAUGAUCUCACCUCUCCACACACACACACAAUCAUCUCACACACACCUCUCCAUGCACCUACAUCCAUGCACACAGCCAUCUCACACACCUCUCCACACACCUACAUACACAACCAUCUCACACACACAGCUCUCCACACACCUAUGUACACAAUCUCAUACCUCUCCACACACCUACAUACAUGCACACAACUAUCUCACACACACCUUCCACACACCCUCCUUUGCCUUCACUAUUCACACACCUCACACUGCACAUCCCAUUCCCACAGACCCACAGACACAUGCACACAGGUUUCCCCACCUUCCUAAAAUGCAGAGGACAGUGCUGCUCCAGGCCUACGUCCACAGCCCAUUUUUGAUGGUCCAUCCUACCUGUCCAAAUUUCACUUCUCACCCCCCUACUCAGAUCCCUCUCUGUGGAGAUCGUAAACUCCUGGUUGCUUGGUACUCAACACCUGGCACUAAGGAGGAGCCCUCUACGCUUGUGUCGAACUGAAUGAAUUAUCUCCCUUCUUUGCCCCAAUUAAAUGUUUCACUUC
rnacentral:lncRNA from 1 species